GAGGGUAUAGUUCAGUAGUAGAGUGUGUGCCUAUCACGCACAAGGUCCUGGAUUGAUCCCUAGUAUCUCCA
rnacentral:tRNA from 1 species